rnacentral:rRNA from 1 species
GACGAACGCUGGCGGCGUGCUUAACACAUGCAAGUCGAACGGUAAAGCUCCAGCUUGCUGGGGUGGAUCAGUGGCGAACGGGUGAGUAACACGUGAGCAACCUGCCCCUGACUUUGGGAUAAGCUCUGGAAACGGCGUCUAAUACUGGAUACGAGUAGGUUCCGCAUGGGCACGGUCGGGAAGGUUUGUCGGUUGGGGAUGGGCUCGCGGCCUAUCAGCUUGUUGGUGGGGUAGUGGCUUACCAAGGCGACGACGGGUAGCCGGCCUGAGAGGGUGACCGGCCACACUGGGACUGAGACACGGCCCAGACUCCUACGGGAGGCAGCAGUGGGGAAUAUUGCACAAUGGGCGAAAGCCUGAUGCAGCGACGCCGCGUGCGGGAUGACGGCCUUCGGGUUGUAAACCUCUUUCAGCAGGGAAGAAGCGAAAGUGACGGUACCUGCAGAAGAAGCACCGGCUAACUACGUG